ensembl:snRNA U6 U6 spliceosomal RNA
AUGCUCACCUCGGCAGCACAUAUCCUAAAAUUGGAACGAUACAGAGAAGAUUGGCAUGGCCCCUGCGCAAGGAUGACACGCAAAUUCGUGAAGCAUUCCAUAUUUUU